rnacentral:lncRNA from 10 species
UUCUCUGCCUGGUCCUUCACUCAAGGGAUCCAAAAUCCCAGUACUAUACGGGCCUCUUUACCUUGCUAGAACCUCCUUCUGAUGACGGAAGGCAGAGGCCCUCCAGACACCCCUUCUACCAGCAGGGAAGCCCUGGGGCUCCGGCCAUCAAGCCUCUUUCUCUGAGUGAACAGAGGGUCCUAACAGCAUCGUUUCUGGGAGCUUGCAACUCAGAAGAUCCAAAUCUCUUCAGCCCGACCUUGGGGCGAUGUGGAAGAGGUCUAAGUCCCCAACAGGCGCCAGGUGUGCAAAGGAAAUGCACCUGCAGGCAAAACCUGAGGCAGGUGGAGCCGGGUGCCCCACCCACGGCCAGAACAAAGAAGGCUCAGAAGGCCUGCAAGGGUGUCCUGGGCUCUAGGGUAGCAGGAGAGCAGGCGGGCCUCUCAGAAGGGGUGAGAAGAGCUGGCGGGUGAGGCAGAGGCCGGAGGAGGCUCAGCCAAGCUGCCAGGCUUCCCCUGCUGCUAGGGAGGGCCCUCCAGGAACUGAGUUAAUCAGCAGGAAACCGAUGGUUGUUUCCUGACAACCCUGCUGCUGCCGACACCAUGGCCACCACCACCACAGGCACAGAAUACACACACACACACACACACACACACACACACACACACACACACACAGGAAUUUGGAAACAGGAAGGACAGCUGGCAACUUCUGGGGACCCACAAUGCAAUCCACUUUUUCAAAUAACAUAGACAAAACAGCACAAAGAAUUCCUCCCUUUCCUGAGUGCAGACCAUGUGUAGAGCCUCUUGCAUGUGAUAUCUUGUUUCUAUCUGGCAGAAGAACCCCUCCAGGAGUGACUGUCGUUCACCUGUUUUCUUUUCUUUUCUUUUCUUUUCUUUUUUUUUGAGACAGAGUCUCACUCUGUCACCCAGGCUGGAGUACAAUGAUGCGAUCUCGGCUCACUGCAACCUCUGCCUCCUGGGUUCAAGCGAUUCUCCCACCUCAGCCUCCCGAGUAGCUGGGACUACAGCUGCUACCACGCCCAGCUAAUUUUUGUACUUUUAGUAAAGACAGGGUUUCACCAUGUUAGCCAAGCUGGUCUUGAACUCCUGACCUCAAGUGAUCUGCCUGCCUCGGCCUUCAGAAGUGCUGGGAUUACAGGCAUGAGCCACCGCAUCCAGCCAUUCCCAUUUUCUAAACUCUGAGGGGCAAAGAAAGAAAGUCAGUGGGCCAAGCUUGCACAGCUGGUAGCGCCCACGUUUCCAUACCCAGGCCAGGCAGGACUCAGAAGGCCAUCUCUUAAACCACCUUGCUCUGCCUUGAAUCAAGGAGUUUCUCCCCAGGCUCUGUGACCAGAGUCAAACCAAGUCUAUGGGACAAGCUGGGCAUGGUAGCGAAUGCCUAUGGUCCCAGCUACUUGGGAGGCUGAGUUGGGAGGAUCGCUCAGGCCCAGGAGGUCAAGGCUGCAGUGAGCUAUGAUCAUGCCUGUGAACAGACACUGCACUCCAGCCUGGGCAACAGAGUGAGAACCUGUCUCUAAAAAAACAGGAAAAAGGAACAUAUGGGACAAGGCAGAAGGCUCAACGUGGAGUAGCCGGCUAGCCUAGGAGCCAACCCCUUUCUGCCUGAACUGGCCUGUUGGGAUCUCGAGGGUGAAGUGGGAGCGAGAAGACUUCUGCCUGUCCAACUCUUCUCCUGCUUUCCACUUCCUAAGCUUAAAAAGCACACCUCCCGCUGCAAACUUUCCCCACCUUUAACAUCCCCAGUGCUUCUCAAACUCUGUGGUGAAAGGUCAGUUUGAUUCAUCUUAAUCCUUAAUCCCUCUCAGAUCUAACAUCAACAAGCAGUUUAGUCCUGAGUCCUGCCACGUGGGGUCAACAGUGCUCACCCUGGCCCACACGCUGUUCGAGAUGAAGCCACCAAUCGCCCAUUUGGAUGUCAUCCUGCCAAUGUCAAACUACAGAAGUUUCUAAACACCAAUCCCAUUUUCUAUGUUUAGCUCCUCCUCUUGCUUGGUUAACAUUGUGCAGAACAGCACUGGUGCAUGGCCCAUACUUUUGUGGGGCACUGGCCUAAGAAUACACAAGAAUGUUUAUAAAUUAAAGAAUUUUAAAUGCAGAUAUAUAUUUCCUCUUAAGUGAAAAUUCUAGCCACAGAGCCUCAAAUUUCAAACACACACUUUUUUUUUCUUUUUUUAGAAACAAGUUCUUGCUAUGUUGUCCAUGCUGGCCUUGAACUCCUGGACUCAAGGAAUCCUCUUGCUUUAGCCUCCUGAGUAGCUAAGACUAUACAGGCCAAACACACAUUCUUUUUUUUUUUUUUUUUUUGAGAUGGAAUCUCACUCUUGCCCAGGCUGGAGUGCAGUAGCACAAUCUCAGCUCAC